rnacentral:rRNA from 1 species
CUACGGGUGGCACCAGGCGAGAAAACUUUGCAAUGUGCGAAAGCACGACAAGGUUAAUCCGAGUGGUUUCUGCUAAAGGAACCUUUUGACAGUCCUAGAAACACUGUUGAAUAAGGGGUGGGCAAGUUCUGGUGUCAGCCGCCGCGGUAAAACCAGCACCUCAAGUGGUCAGGAUGAUUAUUGGGCCUAAAGCAUCCGUAGCCGGCUCUGUAAGUUUUCGGUUAAAUCUGUACGCUCAACGUACAGGCUGCCGGGAAUACUGCAGAGCUAGGGAGUGGGAGAGGUAGACGGUACUCGGUAGGAAGGGGUAAAAUCCUUUGAUCUAUUGAUGACCACCUGUGGCGAAGGCGGUCUACCAGAACACGUCCGACGGUGAGGGAUGAAAGCUGGGGGAGCAAACCGGAUUAGAUACCCUUGUAGUC